CACUCAGGUGCAAUUCUGUCUUGAAGUUCCAUGUCACGAUGGACCUGAUUUGUGGUCCUGCAUGAACUACAGUUCUUCAUGAUGUCUUCUUGUGCUUUACUUAAGGACUGAGCUAGUUCCAUCCCUUUCCAAUGUAACACAGCCAUGUAAGUAUAGAGUACUGAUGUCCAGUGCAAAAUAUUUGUGUCAAAUGUGUGGUCUCUUUUCCUUCAUCUGCAGGAAACAGGCCUGCUGUAAACAGCAGGACCAUUUUCUGUAACAAUAAGGAAAACAGUUUAAGGGUGUAACUUCAUAGUUAGCUUAAAGCAUUGCUUGCUGUCUUUCUUUUCUCUUCUACACAGUAACACAGAGAAGCUUGCUUAUCUGGCUAAAAGUCCAGAAAAAUGAAAUUGAUAUUCUUCAUGUGGGCACAUGAUGACUACUGCAGCACAAGGACUUUCUCAACACCUUCUACAACAUGAGGAUUGCAGUUUUUUUAAGGCAGCACAUCUUUGAUCAGUUUAAUCUACCUUGUGUAUAUAUUCUCAGUGUGUCCCCUCCUACAGAGUUUAUCCUUUUUGAUUUUGAGAAAAAUACCCAACUAGCUUCUACUUGCAAUAGAUGCCCCUGAAUUCAUGUUAUUAUUCACUUAGAUAAAUACUGUGUUGUAGGUUACAUUCAGCCAUGUCCUUGCAACUCCUCUGUGCCCUGUUUAGACACGGGAUGAAAGCGCUGAUUAUAACUUAUGUAUAAUUGCAUGGCAAAUAAAACAGAGUAUUAUGUGUAUUUCUGCUGUCUCUCAAAUAUAUUGAGAUUUGAGAAAAUUGUAUGCGUUUGCUUUCCAUAAUAUAAUCUGAAAUCUUGGAGCAGUGGAGUUAAUGUCCCUGACUACGCACAGAUGCUGUGGUUGUUGGGGGUCUUAGAGGGAUUCCUGCACUUGACUAAAUCAAAUAACCCUUUUCUGUGAAAAACACAAUCUCCAUUUGUGAUAUCUGGUGCUUAAAAUCUGUAGGUGGGAAACCUACUCACUCAUACCAAAAUACUGCCCCACAUACUUGUGCUCUUCCUCCCCACCUUUGACUAAUACAUCCAGCACCCUUUGGAUAUUGUUUAUGUUUGUACCUUUUCUGAAUUGAGGGCCAAAGAAAGAGAAAAUCCUUAAAGGGUAUGUCUAUACUCCUCCUCACUUUUUUUUUCUUUUUUUUUACCUUUUCAGUUUAAUGGGAAAGUGUUAAAGUUCCACAUGAAUGUACGUGAAGUAGCCUGGCAUCCACAAAUCAUUUGGUUGCACCUUGCAGUCCCCACCUUGAAGGCUGAAGUGUACUUUAGCCUGGUCCCUCUGCUCCAUCCUCAUAACCCGUGUCUGCCAAAAUUCUCAGUAGGUGCAGACUUUCUUAAGACAUUCGUUUGCUGAUCUUACCAGACCAACAAAAGACAGGAGUGAAUAUGUGUGGGAAAAGAUUCAAGGCAAGAUCUACCUCAUGCUAAAGAAAUUAUUCAGAGCUGAAAACAUUUGUCUAAGGGCUACUAAUUGAGUUAGUGAGCCAAAUCAUGGAGAACCUGUGGACAUCUUGAUAAGACACAGCACACAGGGAAGGUGAAAUUCUUGAACCUAACCUGAUUCCACCCUUCAUCACUAGACCCAGCAAGCCUCUUGGCAGGAAAUAAAAGACUUCUUAUCUUCUGUUCUUUAUUAAAAGUAGCUAAAUAAGUACUUUAAGAUACCAGGCUCAGCUGAAGUUGAGUAUGCUGCUGUGAAUGGUGGUCCCAACUGAGCAUCAUGUCAGAGCACUUCUAUUCAAUUGAUUGUUAGUGGCAGGCUGCUAGAGCCACUACUUAGCUCUGCAAAGUGGCAGAAAUCAAAGGCGGCCUUGUUGCUGUGCACAGAGAAACAGCAAAUGAUCCUGAAGUGCAUCCUCCAGCUCCCCUGGAAUGUUAUGGAGCAAACAUUGAAAACUGUGGGGCAUGUACUCACUGGUGAAAACUCUUCCAUUUGCUUGUAGGACACAUCACACAAAGUUCCCGUACUUUAUAAAGGAGAGCCAGUUAGACUGCCAGUUGUAUGAUGGCCAGAUCGUUACACUACUGGGACUGUUGUCAGAUUACCAAAUGACUGACAAGCAAUAUUAGGUUUUGAAUGGUGCAUAGAGACUCAAAAACCAGAAACUAAAAAUACACAGACUAAGAAAUGCCAAAUUUUUGAUCUAUCUCAUGGCCAUUGGCAACUGAUAAGUGAAGUUAUAUUUCACGAUCAGAAAAACAUAGGCUAGAUGGCUUAGUAUUGUGUUACAACUACAAUGGGAAUGAAUGUGUAAAACAUGGAAAUCCCUCUGGUGGUCAGAAACGCAUAGGUUACAUCUGUUGUUUACUCAAGAUUGAUUUAAAGAGAAAUUUGUAAUAGGUUUUUAAAGAGAAAUUAAAAAUUUGCCAGAAAAAAUGAGCUCAAUAAAGCAGGCAUAGUGAACCUUCAGAAAGUUAACCCAUGUUUUAAUGCUCUAGAAUAUCAAGAUUUUUAAUUUUUGUCUCCGUUUUCAGGCUCCUUUGCUUACUGAAGGUAUUAGACAUUUACAAUGGCUACUAUGGGCAUCUAAUUACGUCCUGGAAAUCUUCUGGAGAUAUUCUCAUUUCUUCAUUCAAUAUAUAACAGGGCUUUUCUCCUGUCUUUGUUUCUUUGAACUGCACCUACCCAAGAUGUUUAAAUAGUCCAUCUGAUUGACACAAGACUAAGAAAAAAAUGGUUUUCUAAUCAUUAUGGACCAGGGCAAUUAAAUAUUUGAAUUAGUGCUGAAUUUGAUUCAGAUGUCAGGCUUCCAACUGAACAACCGAGUAUGGCAAAAUAUAUUUAUAUUUAUUAAAUUAACAAUAAAAUUUAAGUAUACUUUGUUUAGU